rnacentral:rRNA from 1 species
GACGAACGCUGGCGGCGUGCCUAAUACAUGCAAGUUGAGCGAUGAAGAUUGGUGCUUGCACCAAUUUGAAGAGCAGCGAACGGGUGAGUAACGCGUGGGUAAUCUGCCUUUGAGCGGGGGACAACAUUUGGAAACGAAUGCUAAUACCGCAUAACAACUUUAAACAUAAGUUUUAAGUUUGAAAGAUGCAAUUGCAUCACUCAAAGAUGAUCCCGCGUUGUAUUAGCUAGUUCGUGAGGUAAAGGCUCACCAAGGCGAUGAUACAUAGCCGACCUGAGAGGGUGAUCGGCCACAUCGGGAAUGAGACACGGCCCAAACUCCUACGGGAGGCAGCAGUAGGGAAUCUUCGGCAAUGGAAGAAAGUCUGACCGAGCAACGCCGCGUGAGUGAAGAAGGUUUUCGGAUCGUAAAACUCUGUUGGUAGAGAAGAAAGUUGGUGAGAGUGGAAAGCUCAUCAAGUGACGGUAACUACCCAGAAAGGGACGGCUAACUACGUG